rnacentral:misc_RNA from 1 species
CGAAAUGCGAUAAGUAAUGUGAAUUGCAGAAUUCCGUGAAUCAUCGAAUCUUUGAACGCACAUUGUGCCCUCUGGUAUUCCGGGGGGCAUGCAUGUCCGAGCGUCAUUGCGAACCCCUCAAGCACGGCUUGUGUGAUGGGCCCUCCCGCGUCUUGGUCGUCAAGACGGGCCCGAAAUGCAGUGGCGGCUUCGCGGUUAUCCGAUCAGCCAGAGCGUAUGGGGACUCUCUCUCUGUCACACGCCCGCGGCGCGGACCGACGCCUGUCGACCUUUAUUCAUCUUUUCUCGGUUGACCUCGGAUCAGGUAGGGAUACCCGCUGAACUUAAGC